GUUGGUUUCAAUAGGGUAUAAGUGAGUGAAGAAGUCUACCCUGUAUGUUCUGAGCUUCAGGUUGAAAUGCUUAACUCAGCUUAUUUCAAGGGCUUGAUUAUGCAAAGUACUGAGCAUCAUUGACUUCCAUGACAGCAUCUUUUUACAAGUCCCAUUGAGAACUCCUGGCCAGAUGUCACAGGCUGUGAUAAGAGGCAUUGUGAGAAUAAUUUUCAGACUAACAUCUGAAGAAACUGGGACGAUUAGGGCAAGAUGAGGAGGAGGAGGAGAAACCCACUUGCAAACCAGCACAAGGAGGAAGAAGUGAAAAGUAUAGAUAUGAAGACACUCUGCUGUUGGAAAGGUCUCAAAUAGAAUGGUACACUGAUGGUGAAUCCUGAAAAUGUGAUCCCAUAUUUGCAUUUCACCUCCACACCUAGCACAGAAUGAUUCCAGAAUUCAAUAAAGUCCACAGCAAAGUUGUAGUACCUCAAACUUGACUAUAAAGGAGGCUUUUUAUGUGCAAUUUCACAAUCACUCAAUAGAUUCUGGUGGUACUCUGGGUGCACACUCCUGGACCAUGCCUUUCUGGCCCAAUUUUCAAAGUUGCUGAGCACCUGCAAGCACAAUUGAAGUUCACAAGAACCAGGAGAGAAGGUCACAAACACAUUGUUUAUUACUAGAUCUGCAGUGAAGAUGAUGCCAAACAGUUGGAUUCAUGGAGCCAAAUUCUGCUCUCGGCUACACUUGCAUAACUCUUUUUGAAUAUUGG